rnacentral:rRNA from 1 species
CCUCGAGUGGUGGAUCACUCGGCUCGUGGGUCGAUGAAGAACGCAGCUAACUGCGUGCAGACGUGUGAACUGCAGGACACAUGAACACCGACGUUUCGAACGCAAAUGGCGGUCUAAAGUAAAUUUUAGACCACGUCUGGCUGAGGGUCGGAUUAUAAAACAAA